UAAAGUUAUGAGUCAUGUUACAAGUGAUUAAUAUAUUCUAUGUUGAUUAUUUAGAAAUGAAUGAUACCAUAAACUAGGCUUUAUAAUAGUUGAUUCUUGCUCAAAAAAAAUUAGAUGAAUUUGUAAUUACAGUCUGACAAUGAUUUGACAAUAAUAUGAUACUAAGUGGAUAGUCGUUAUAUAC